GGUGGUGAUGGUGCCAAUGAUAAUGAUGGUGGUGUGGUGAUGAUGAUUAGGAUGAUGGGGGUGAUGGUGACAAUGAUAAUGAUGGUGGUGGUGGUGAUGAUAAUGGUCGUGGUGAUGAUGAUGGAGGUGGUGAUGGUGAUAUUAGCGGUGGUGAUGUGAUGGGGGUGGCGAUCAUGGUGAUGAUAAUAGUGAUGGGGGUGAUGAUUAUGAUGGUGGCGAUGGUGAUGAUGAUGAUGGUGGUGGUGAUGGUGAUAUUAGCGGUGGUGAUGUGAUGGUGGUGGCGAUCAUGGUGAUGAUAAUAGUGAUGGUGGUGAUGAUUAUGAUGGUGGCGAUGGUGAUGAUGAUGAGAGCUAACACACACCGUUCUCACCAUUUACCAGAAAUUGUUCUGUUUUACAUGUAUUAACUCUUUUAAUCCUCAUGAUAAUCUCUCAAGGUAGUACUCUGAUUACCCCUAUUUUACAGGAAAGAAAACUGAGGUAUGGGGAGGAUAAAUACAAUAUCCAGCUCCUGGAUAUUCUGUAUGUAUGAUGUUUGCUGGCUGCAGCCACCCCCAAGGGUGAGGGGGCACCCUGACAGGAGAGGGGGGUGUGACGAGCCAGCGCUCUUCACAUGGCUGGAGGUGAGCCUUGAACUUUAUACCAGAACUCUUCCUACAGUCCUAGGUGUCAAGAAAAAUAAAUCGGACUCCACUUUUUAGAAAUUAAAAUAUAAAGAAAAUGUCUUGAUAAGAAGGAUAUUUAAAAUAAUCUUCUUUCUUUAUCCUAUGUGCAUUUCUAGCAUUUGCAGGUGGAGAUGGAACAGUAGGGAUGGGGAAGUUUUAUUGGCUCCAAACAAAGAUCACCCUUCAGUAGAUAUCUCAUGGGGCCCAUAAAGAUGGCAAAUAGGUUUUCUAAACCAGAGGAUGUAACAUAUGCUGAUGAGAGGGGAUUGUCAAAACUGAAGCUAUCAGGAAAAAGUAAUAUGGCCUUUUGUUUUGGGUUCCCCUGAGGCAGGACCAGAGAUAAGGAUUUGAAUACAAAGAGUUUAUAUAGAAGGCAGACCCCACCCCCCCAGCCCCCGUGGAGUUUCCAUCGUGGCGCAGUGGUUAAUGAAUCCAACUAGGAACCAUGAGGUGGUGGGUUCCGUCCCUGCCCUUGCUCAGUGGGUUAAGGAUCCAGCGUUGCCAUGAGCUGUGGUGUGGGUCGCAGACACGGCUCAGAUCCCCGUGUUGCUGUGGCUCUGGUGUANUGUGUGUGUGUGUGUGUGUCUGUGUCUGUGUUUUCUCUGACAUACACAAUUCUUACAGGAAAAGGCAAUUAGCCAAAUAGCCUUAGCAGAUUUUCACAAAGCUUUGAGAUUUCUUUGAGCUAGAAUUACAUUGAGUUGCUAAAAAAUGCUCCCCCCCCCAUGAGCCCUUGCAUAAAAUAUAGAAAUAGCAAAUCAGCAGGCUUUUUAUGCAGCUUAGUUAUGAUUCAACAGUUCAAAAUGUCCUUAUUUCAAACUGGCCUGAGGGGGAUCUGGCUAAAAUCAAGACUUUGGGGAGACAAGUGACAUGACACUGAACAAAUUCUGAAGCUCACUGUUUAUCUUGUUUCCAUUUCGGAUCCCAGAUGUAUACUUCUUUCUAGACUGUCUACAGUCGAUCUGAUGCAUUUUUUUGCCUUCAAGGAUAUUCUGUAUGUAUGAUGUUUGCUGGCUGCAGCCACCCCCAAGGGUGAGGGGGCACCCUGACAGGAGAGGGGGGUGUGACGAGCCAGCGCUCUUCACAUGGCUGGAGGUGAGCCUUGAACUUUAUACCAGAACUCUUCCUACAGUCCUAGGUGUCAAGAAAAAUAAAUCGGACUCCACUUUUUAGAAAUUAAAAUAU
ensembl:lncRNA